UUAGCUCAAGAAAACGCGCCUC
rnacentral:siRNA from 1 species